UACAGAGGUCUCAAGCGUUGUUCGGAUUCAUUGGGCGUAAAGGGUGCGUAGGCGGCGCGGUAAGUCGGGUGUGAAAUCUCGGAGCUUAACUCCGAAACUGCAUUCGAUACUGCCGUGCUUGAGGACUGGAGAGGAGACUGGAAUUUACGGUGUAGCGGUGAAAUGCGUAGAUAUCGUAAGGAAGACCAGUGGCAGAGGCGGGUCUCUGGACAGUUCCUGACGCUGAGGCACGAAGGUCAGGGGAGCAAACGGG
rnacentral:rRNA from 1 species